rnacentral:rRNA from 1 species
UCCGCAUGCUCCUUACGUCUAGGGCUACACACGUCCUACAAUGGGGUCGACAAUGGGAUGCAAUAUCGCAAGAUGGAGCCCAAUCCCCAAACGGCCUCUCAGUUCGGAUUGUAGUCUGCAACUCGACUACAUGAAGUUGGAAUCGCUAGUAAUGGCAGAUCAGCAUGCUGCCGUGAAUACGGUUCCCGGGUCUU